rnacentral:misc_RNA from 1 species
UGGCUCUGGCAUCGAUGAAGAACGCAGCGAAAUGCGAUAAGUAUUGUGAAUUGCAGAAUCCAGUGAAUCAUCGAAUCUUUGAACGCACAUUGCGCCCGCCGGUAUUCCGGCGGGCAUGCCUGUUCGAGCGUCAUUUCAACCCCUCAAUUUCUUUUGUAAAUUGGUGUUGGGGCGAUUUUUUUAACCCUUAAAAAAAUGCCCUCAAAUUUAUAGGCGGGUCUUUUUAUUUCCGGCUCUAAACGCAGUAGUUUUUUUACCUAAAACGUUUUGGACCUAAAAAAGACACAGCCCUUUUUCUCCAAAAGGUUGACCUCGGAUCAGGUAGGAAUACCCGCUGA